rnacentral:lncRNA from 12 species
UUCCUCUGAUAUAAUGUUAUUAUGUUAAACUCAUAUUUAUAUUUAUAAUAAUUUACAUUAAAAUAUUCCUUAUUAUAUGUCCUUAUUUCCUCACAUUUUCCUCCUCAAACACCAUGCUUCAAUGCCACUUUCCAUAGGGCAACUAUUCAGAAAUAAUUGUUUCAAUUAAGCUCACACAGUACUUUGUGGAAACUUCACUUUAGGUACCUAUUUCUUCUAUCUUUUAAAGAUUUUUUUUUUAUUUAUUCAUUUGACAGAAGGAGAGCACAAGCUGGAGAAGUGGCAGGCAGAGGGAGAGGGUGAUGCAGGCUCCCCAUUGAGCAGGGAACCCAACUCAGGGCUCGUUUCCAGGACCCUGGGAUUCUUGAACUGAGCUGAAGGCAGAUGCAUAACCUAUUGAUCUACCCAGGCACCCUUUCUUCUUCUUUUUAUUUAAACUGGAUUGAGAAUGCUGAGCCUCAAGUCAAAUCUUCACACAGUCGGUUGUCAAAGCAAGACAGAAAAUUGAGGAACAGAAGUCCUACAUCAUGUUUUUCCUGCAGACAUAUGGUUAUUUGGUUCUCUCAGCUCUACCUUUCCCUAUCCCCCUGACCUUCUGCAAAUUUGUGGACUCCUUUUCAAGCUAGACCUGCAGUGACAACAAGAGCCACCAAGCUUAUAUGUCGAAGUCCCUUCCUUGCACAGGUGGCUUCCAGGCCUCUGAAAUCUAUUAGCAAUGUAAUGCAUUUUACAAAAUGUGCAAUAUUAAAAGUUUUAAC